rnacentral:rRNA from 1 species
UACGGAGGGUGCAAGCGUUAAUCGGAAUUACUGGGCGUAAAGCGUGCGCAGGCGGUUUGUUAAGUCCGCUGUGAAAUCCCCGAGCUCAACUUGGGAAUUGCAGUGGAUACUGGCAAGCUGGAGUAUGGUAGAGGAAGGUGGAAUGCUUGGUGUAGAGGUGAAAUUCGUAGAUAUCAAGCGGAACACCGGUGGCGAAGGCGGCCUUCUGGACAGUGACUGACGCUGAGACGCGAAAGCGUGGGGAGCAAACAGG